rnacentral:rRNA from 1 species
AUUGAACGCUGGCGGCAUGCUUUACACAUGCAAGUCGAACGGUAACAGCACUUCGGUGGCUGACGAGUGGCGAACGGGUGAGUAAUACAUCGGAACGUGCCUAGUAGUGGGGGAUAACUACUCGAAAGAGUAGCUAAUACCGCAUGAGAUCUAAGGAUGAAAGCAGGGGACCUUCGGGCCUUGCGCUACUAGAGCGGCUGAUGGCAGAUUAGGUAGUUGGUGGGAUAAAAGCUUACCAAGCCGACGAUCUGUAGCUGGUCUGAGAGGACGACCAGCCACACUGGGACUGAGACACGGCCCAGACUCCUACGGGAGGCAGCAGUGGGGAAUUUUGGACAAUGGGCGCAAGCCUGAUCCAGCAAUGCCGCGUGAAGGAUGAAGGCCUUCGGGUUGUAAACUGCUUUUGUAAGGAACGAAAAGCCCUCUUCUAAUACAGGAGGGUCAUGACGGUACCGUAAGAAUAAGCACCGGCUAACUACGUG